rnacentral:rRNA from 1 species
UACGGAGGGUGCAAGCGUUAUCCGGAUUCACUGGGUUUAAAGGGUGCGUAGGUGGGCAAGUAAGUCAGUGGUGAAAUCUCCGGGCUUAACCCGGAAACUGCCAUUGAUACUAUUUGUCUUGAAUACUGUGGAGGUCAGCGGAAUAUGUCAUGUAGCGGUGAAAUGCUUAGAUAUGUCAUAGAACACCAAUUGCGAAGGCAGCUGGCUACACAAAUAUUGACACUGAGGCACGAAAGCGUGGGGAGCAAACAGG